AGGGGCGUAGCUCAGCUGGUUUAGAGCGUUUGAGUCACAUUCAAAAGGUCAUCGGUUCGAAUCCGAUCGUCCCUA
rnacentral:tRNA from 1 species